CCUACGGGUGGCAGCAGUGGGGAAUCUUGCACAAUGGGGGCAACCCUGAUGCAGCGACGCCGCGUGAGCGAUGAAGCCCUUCGGGGUGUAAAGCUCUUUCGGCAGGGAAGCGGUACCUGCAGAAGCAGCUGCGGCUAACUACGUGCCAGCAGCCGCGGUAAUACGUAGGCAGCAAGCGUUGUUCGGAGUUACUGGGCGUAAAGGGUGUGUAGGCGGUUGGAUAAGGGUGGUGUGAAAUCUCCCGGCUUAACUGGGAGGGUGCGCUACAAACUGUCUGACUAGAGUAUGGGAUGGGAGAGUGGAAUUCCUGGUGUAGCGGUGAAAUGCGUAGAUAUCAGGAGGAACACCGGUGGUGUAGACGGCUCUCUGGACCAUACUGACGCUGAGACACGAAAGCGUGGGUAGCAAACAGGAUUAGAUACCCUUGUAGUC
rnacentral:rRNA from 1 species